rnacentral:lncRNA from 1 species
GAACAAAAACAAGAGAGACCAAGACCAAUCGCUUAAACACAAACCAACAACCAAGACAACAAUAAUGUUGUGACGUCGCAAACGUAAAAGACCAAGACUAACACGAACCUAUAAUGUUGAACACGAAAAGAUGACAAUGGUCACAAAAAUGCAACGACAACACCAAAGCGAGAAGAAAAUGGUUAGGAGAAGGAAGAUAAGAACAAGAACGAAAUUAAGAUAUAAACGAGAAAUGAGAAUGAAGAUAAAUGAUAAUGAAGAUAAAAACAAACCUCAAUAAAGGCAUAAUCAAGGAAAACACGAAAUUGCAACGACGAAGGAGAAAAAUGCAGUGGCGUUAUACAACAAGACCUUUCACAAGUUGGAAAAGUUCACAAAUUUAUCUUAUGCAAUCAUGGUAUAGACUUCGAUUUAACCUAAACCAAAUCCUAUACUUUGACAUGUAGGUAAAGCCUUUUAAAAAUGCAGUGAUAUUUUUGAAAAUAUUUGUACAACUAUAAUCACAGUCUAUAGUUGUACAAAUAUUUUC